UACGUAGGGUGCAGGCGUUAAUCGGAAUUACUGGGCGUAAAGCGUGCGUAGACGGUUAUUUAAGUCGGAUGUGAAAGCCCCGGGCUCAACCUUGGAAUUGCAUUCGAGACUGAAUAGCUAGGGUACGGUAGAGGGAAGCGGAAUUUCCGGUGUAGCGGUGAAAUGCGUAGAUAUCGGAAGGAACAUCAGUGGCGAAAGCGGCUUCCUGGACCAGUACCGACGUUCAGGCACGAAAGCGUGGGGAGCAAACAGG
rnacentral:rRNA from 1 species